UACGUAGGGUGCGAGCGUUGUCCGGAAUUAUUGGGCGUAAAGAGUUCGUAGGCGGUCUGUCGCGUCGAUCGUGAAAACUUGGGGCUUAACCCUGAGCUUGCGGUCGAUACGGGCAUGACUGGAGUUCGGCAGGGGAGACUGGAAUUCCUGGUGUAGCGGUGAAAUGCGCAGAUAUCAGGAGGAACACCGGUGGCGAAGGCGGGUCUCUGGGCCGAUACUGACGCUGAGGAGCGAAAGCGUGGGGAGCAAACAGG
rnacentral:rRNA from 1 species